GGGGGGAAUGUGCAGGAAACUGCAUAUAGACCUACUGUUUGGAGCUGAGGUCACAUCUAAAGAUGGAGGGAGGGAUGUCCUAGGGAUGUGGGUAAUUGUUGAAAGCCCAAGAAUGAGUGAGAGGCUGCCAAGGGAGGGUGUGCCACGUGAGCAGGGAGGAGACAGGCUGAGCACUGGAGACACUCCCGUGUAGGGAGACAGGCAGAGACGAGCUGGACUGAGCUCCCAGCUAGCAGAUGUAGGGGAGCCGGUAUUUCUCUGAGUGUGUUCUGCAAAGCCGUGGUCAUCUUCCAAGAUGUUCUGUGGCCUCAUACACAUGGGGAGAUGGCAGCCUAUACCUCCCUAUGGGAGACUCCCAAUGUACACUCUCAGAUUAAAGGCUCUGAAAAGUUCCUCAGUGAGGGAACCUAAUUCUCUAUGUUUACCUCACCAUUUCCCAAAUAUACUCACCCUUGGGACAUGGACCACUAAUGUCCUGUGCCCUAUUUGUUUUGAAAUUAUGGUCUAAACUUAAUGAAUAUUAGAAUGCCCUUUAGCCAUCAUUGACUUCAGCCUCCCAUUAUGUUGAUGAGGAAGCUCUGUCCUGGAGAAGCUAAGAGAGGCUACUGCCCCCAUUCCCGUGGGGCAGUAGAGGAAACACUGGAUUAGAGGGUAGACACACCCUACUCUCAAGGUUUAGUUCAAGCCUCAUCAUUUACUGGGCUUCCUUGGUGGCUCAGAUAGUAAAAAAUCUGCCUACAAUGCAGGAGACCCAGAGUUCACCCCUGGGUCGGGAACAUCCCCUGGAGAAGGGAAUGGCUACCCACUCCAGUAUUCUUGCCUGGAGAAUCCAAUGGACAGAGGAGUCUGGUGGGCUACAGUUCAUAGGGUCACAGAGUUAGACACGACUGUACAACUUAACACUUCAUCAUUUACUAGGUAUGUGACUUUAGGUAUAUUACUUUUCUUCCUUGGGUCUCUCUCUCUGGUUAAGAGCUAAAACUGCUCCCUGGGCAGGGCUGUGGCUGAAAGGAUGAGGAAUUUGGGGGAGUGGGAAGGGGACCAUGGUGUUGGGCUUAGAGCCAUGGUUCUGCCUUCUGCCAACAGUCCCACAGCUGGCCACAUCCUCCGGCUGGGCCCUGUCCUCUACCUGGCAUCAUCACACCAUUAUGAAGCCCUUUGUACAGGAUUUUCUUUUCAAUCAAAGCUGCAAACUCAUGAACGGGGGACGGAGCUUACCAGAACCACAGCACCUCUGAGAUGCGUGACAGUGGAGAAUGUAAUCCCGAAUACAGAAGCUAACCCGACACUCUCCACAGGGG
ensembl:lncRNA